rnacentral:rRNA from 1 species
GGCGAACGCUGGCGGCGUGCUUAACACAUGCAAGUCGAGCGGUAAGGCCCUUUCGGGGGUACACGAGCGGCGAACGGGUGAGUAACACGUGGGUGACCUGCCCUCAGCUCUGGGAUAAGCCUGGGAAACCGGGUCUAAUACUGGAUAUGACUCCAUGACGCAUGUUGUGGGGUGGAAAGCCUUGUGCGGCUGAGGAUGGGCCCGCGGCCUAUCAGCUUGUUGGUGGGGUGANGGCCUACCAAGGCGACGACGGGUAGCCGGCCUGAGAGGGCGACCGGCCACACUGGGACUGAGACACGGCCCAGACUCCUACGGGAGGCAGCAGUGGGGAAUCUUGCGCAAUGGGCGAAAGCCUGACGCAGCGACGCCGCGUGAGGGAUGACGG